GACGAACGCUGGCGGCGUGCUUAACACAUGCAAGUCGAACGGAAAGGCCCUGCUUUUGUGGGGUGCUCGAGUGGCGAACGGGUGAGUAACACGUGAGUAACCUGCCCUUGACUUUGGGAUAACUUCAGGAAACUGGGGCUAAUACCGGAUAGGAGCUCCUGCUGCAUGGUGGGGGUUGGAAAGUUUCGGCGGUUGGGGAUGGACUCGCGGCUUAUCAGCUUGUUGGUGGGGUAGUGGCUUACCAAGGCUUUGACGGGUAGCCGGCCUCAGAGGGUGACCGGCCACAUUGGGACUGAGAUACGGCCCAGACUCCUACGGGAGGCAGCAGUGGGGAAUAUUGCACAAUGGGCGGAAGCCUGAUGCAGCAACGCCGCGUGCGGGAUGACGGCCUUCGGGUUGUAAACCACUUUCGCCUGUGACGAAGCGUGAGUGACGGUAAUGGGUAAAGAAGCACCGGCUAACUACGUG
rnacentral:rRNA from 1 species